rnacentral:rRNA from 1 species
CACAUGCAAGUCGAACGGCACCACGGGUGCUUGCACCUGGGGGCGAGUGGCGAACGGGUGAGUAAUAUAUCGGAACGCACCUUAUUGGGGGGGAUAACGCACCCAAAGCUGUGCUAAUACCGCAUAAUCCCUAAGGGGGAAAGGGGGGGACCGUAAGGCCUCUCGCAAUUAGAGCGGCCGAUACCUGAUUAGCUAGUUGGUGAGGUAAAGGCUCACCAAGGCAACCAUCANUAGCUGGUCUGAGAGGACGAUCACCCACACUGGGACUGAGACACGGCCCAUACUCCUACGGGAGGCAGCAGUGGGGAAUUUUGCACAAUGGGGGCAACCCUGAUCCNNCAAUGCCGCGUGANUGAAGAAGGCCUUCNGGUUGUAAAGCUCUUUUGUCANGGAAGAAACA